UCACUGUCAUUUUGGCUAGGUUCACACUGCAGGCUGAAGUGACCCAAAUCCAAUUUUUUGGCCCCUAUGCGAGCUGUAUCUGAUCUUUUCAUGACAGUCUGAACGACACAGAUCCAAUUUUUUCAAACGCAACCCAGGCCACUUGGAUAUGUGGUCCAAAAUCCGAUACGUAUCUGAUCUUUUGCCAUGCGACUUCAGUCUGAACGGUCAGGUCGCAUUUAUCUGACCUACACAUCAUACA